rnacentral:rRNA from 1 species
UACGGAGGGUGCAAGCGUUAUCCGGAUUCACUGGGUUUAAAGGGUGCGUAGGCGGGCAGGUAAGUCCGUGGUGAAAUCCCCGAGCUUAACUCGGGAACUGCCAUGGAUACUAUUUGUCUUGAAUAUUGUGGAGGUAAGCGGAAUAUGUCAUGUAGCGGUGAAAUGCUUAGAUAUGACAUAGAACACCAAUUGCGAAGGCAGCUUACUACAUAGUUAUUGACACUGAGGCACGAAAGCGUGGGGAUCAAACAGG